rnacentral:rRNA from 1 species
CAAUACUGACGCUGAGAUGCGAAAGCGUGGGGAGCAAACAGGAUUAGAUACCUGGUAGUCCACGCUGUAAACGAUGUCGAUUUGGAGUUUGGGGGCAUGACCCUUGGGCUCCGGAGCUAACGCGUUAAAUCGACCGCUGGGGAGUACGGCCGCGAGGUUAAAACUCAAAUGAAUUGACGGGGGCCCGCACAAGCGGUGGAGCAUGUGGUUUAAUUCGAUGCAACGCGAAGAACCUUACCUGGUCUUGACAUCCAUAGAAUCUUUCAGAGAUGAGAGAGUGCCUUCGGGAGCUAUGAGACAGGUGCUGCAUGGCUGUCGUCAGCUCGUGUUGUGAAAUGUUGGGUUAAGUCCCGCAACGAGCGCAACCCCUAUCCUUUGUUGCCAGCACGUAAUGGUGGGAACUCAAAGGAGACUGCCGUUGAUAAAGCGGAGGAAGGUGGGGACGACGUCAAGUCAUCAUGGCCCUUACGACCAGGGCUACACACGUGCUACAAUGGCGUAUACAAAGGGAUGCGAAGGUGCGAACUGGAGCGGACCUCACAAAGUACGUCUAAGUCCGGAUUGGAGUCUGCAACUCGACUCCAUGAAGUCGGAAUCGCUAGUAAUCGUGAAUCAGAAUGUCACGGUGAAUACGUUCCCGGGCCUUGUACACACCGCCCGUCACACCAUGGGAGUGGGUUGCACCAGAAGUAGAUAGCUUAACCUUCGGGAGGGCGUUUACCACGGUGUGGUUCAUGACUGGGGUGAAGUCGUAACAAGGUAACCA